GACGAACGCUGGCGGCGUGCCUAAUACAUGCAAGUCGAGCGGACGGAUGGGAGCUUGCUCCCAGACCGUCAGCGGCGGACGGGUGAGUAACACGUGGGCAACCUGCCUGUAAGACUGGGAUAACUCCGGGAAACCGGGGCUAAUACCGGAUAACUCUUUCCCUCACAUGAGGGAAAGCUGAAAGAUGGCAUCUCGCUAUCACUUACAGAUGGGCCCGCGGCGCAUUAGAGAGUUGGUGAGGUAACGGCUCACCAAGGCGACGAUGCGUAGCCGACCUGCGAGGGUGAUCGGCGACACUGAGACCGAGACACGGCCCAGAGUCUUACGGGAGGCAGCAGUAGGGAAUCUUGCGAGAUGGGCGGAAGUCUGACGGAGCGACGCCGCGUGGGUGAUGAAGGUUUUCGGGUCGUAAGACUCUGUUGUCAGGGAAGAACGAGUACAGGAGGAACUGCCCGUACCUUGACGGUACCUGCCCAGAAAGCCCCGGCUAACUACGUG
rnacentral:rRNA from 1 species